ensembl:lncRNA
GCUCCAGGGCUUCCCUGCCUGGGGCCGCUGACCCCCGCCCUGCACUUCUCCGUUGAUAUUUGUGGAAUGAGUGAACGAGCUAAUGACUCUGCCUCUGAGGUCCUGUGAGCGCUUCUAGUUCAACACGUACCAGGUGGUCUGCUCUCCGCCGCCAUUCUCCUCUGCCUCCCAACUUAGAAACCCAGGUCAGCCCAGAGGGCCUGCUCCUCACAGGUAAACUACUCACUCUUAUGUCCUGCCCCGGUGCCUGCAUGCUCGGUGCCACCUGCCCAGUGCCCAGCUGCCCCACUCCAGCCGUGCCACCUCCUCGGGCUCCCUGCCUGUCUCUACACCCGCUCCUCUGCCCACACUGCCACUGGGCAUCUGUUCUUAGUGGUCAGUCCCACUGUGCUGACCCCUCCUUAAAAUGCUCCUUGUGUCCACACCCCACAGUUGUGUUUCCAAAGUGUCGGACUCACGAUGGGUGGCACUUGGCAUACUUGCAGGAGGCCGAGGGUCUCCUAUGUGAGAGCCGAGUCCUCUAAGUGACAGUGAACAGGAGCAGGACACGAGGAGCUGUUUCUUUCCCAGCUCUGUCGAGCCUUCAGAUUGCACCAAGGAGAAGGUUUCCAGCGAUGCUUGUCUCCCCUCUUUGGCUAACCCCUUCUUUCAGCAGGAAUCAGGCUGCAGCCAGCUGGCAGCUAGCACGCUAGCUCGAAUGCAGAGGCAGCGAGGUCUUGUUUUCAUUCUGUUUAGUUUACAGUUACAGUAUCUACUAUCUGCAACACGGGCUGUGGAGUUUCUAGCUAUAGUGCUAAAGUCCCAUAAAUUAAAAUUUAUCCACAGAAGAUACCCAUCAAAGGGCCAAUCUAGUGUCCAGGAUACAUAAAGCGAUCUUAAUUAUCAAUGAGAGAAAUCAAUAGAAAUUGAAAUAGAAAGACUCGGUCUUCACAAAGAGGAUACACGAGAUCCUUAAGUGCCAAGUUCAUCAGUCAUCUGAGAAAUGCAAAGUAAAGUCGCAGUGCCACAUUACUGACUCCCACCAGGGCUGACUCGAAGCUCACAGCCUCCAAUGCUGACCAGGGUGUGGAGUGUCCCAGGCAGGUAGGACAAACUGACAACUUAGGAAACAGUGGCCUCAACCAGAACUCAGCCACACUCAGCCAGGAAUUCAGUUCCUGGGGGUGAUUCCAACAGGAGGGAGUAAAAGCACUGACCAGAAGUCUCGCAUACAAGUGUGCACAACAGCUACGCAAAACAGCCCCAAACAGACCACAGUCAGAAACUGCUGUGUGUUCCUAGGAUGGAGUGGGUAUGAAAGAGAACUGAUGGAUUAAAGAAAAUCCCUAUUGCAUCAAAGAAGCCAAACUGGAAGAACAAUUCUGCUUCCAUCCAUGCCAAGAUCAGAGGGAGGUAAAACUAAAGCAUUCUUAAGCCUCAGACCCAGGUCUCCUGUGGCCUGGAGGAGGCGCUGCGCCCCAGCCAGUCUGCCUUCCCACGUGAAAAUCAUUUUCCCCAACCGUGUACUUCUUCGCACACACCUGACACAUCAAGGAAAAUUGCCUAGGGCUGGGGAGGAGCUCCAUGGUCCAGUGAGUGCUCAGCACCACAAGGCCUAAGAUUCAGUUCCCAGUGCCAAAAAGAAGAAAAACAGUGACCUACAGUCAGGCUUCUAAACAACGGACUGUUUAAGACAAACAUCAGAAACCCCUCGCUCAGGCUGUAACGGUCCUGCAGGCAGAGCCCACGGUGGCACGGGGACCAGAGCCUCACUGGGCAGUUCAGCCUCAAGCCACACAGCUGCCAGCUGGCACCAGGGGCACAGAGUGAGAUCCUGGGAACGUGAGUUGGGAUGUGAGCUUGCCUGGCCGCUGGGCUCUAGGCAGGUCGCCCGACACCCUGGGCUCAGCCUCCUCACCUGCAAACCAGGCUGGCAGAGCAGCAGCUCAGACACAGGGCCACCCCUGUUCCUGCUCGGCCUGGCUGAGCCCUGCCAUGCCCUGGUGUCUGAUUGUCCUUCCACCUGGGGUGACAGGGCCUUUCCCCCGUGUGGCCUCUCACCCCCACCCCUGCCUGCGGACACGGAUACCCCAGCCGCCAUGGUCUGUGCUGCUGUGUGUGCAGUCCACUCUUUCUGUGCUGGCAGGCCCUGGACUUGGCUCGUAGGACCAGGCUUGGACACCUCCUCCUUGAUGGAAAAAUGGGCGUUCUUCAAAUGACUAUCACCUCGCUGAGUCCCAGUCAGGACCUGGUUCCUUCUUCACAAUGCAGACCUUCGGCCCUCACCAUUGCUACGGAGAACUGGCACCACGAGAUGGACUGUGAGUGGUGGUGAUCGCUAUGACGUCAGCUCAAAGGUUAGGGACGUCCCCAAGCCACUCAGUUCCUUCUCUGCCCUGUAUGGAUAGGUCACCCACGGGAGGGCCUCCAGCUUCGUCGCUGGUGGGUUCCCUAAGCCGGGCACCUUGGAAGGGAGGGACAGGGAGCCCUGUGCUGAGUGACCGCGAGUGGCCUAGGCCCCUGUGAUUCGCAGUCAAGUCAGCUUCUUAGCAAGAAAAGUGCCGCAGAAGUCGUGUGGAGGCUGCCCUCCGAAUUACGGUAUGAAAAUGAAGUCACCGCACCCCAAGGCCUCCCCACAUGGCAGGCACUCACAGCAGCCUGCUUUUGCCCGAGGUCCCUGAGGCUCAGCUCUCCCCCUUCGGAAUGCAGCCCCUAGGCGGGGACCAUCCUGGGCUAACAGAGCAAGGUGGAGAGGGCAGGACACCCCUUCCAUGCAAGGCCCAGGGAGCAGAGGAGGCUCGGGGCACUGGGUGGGUGGCUUCUCAUUCUGACCAGGUUGCCUCUCUGUCCCCCAGACCUUUGCCCUAUGCCCAGCCAUUUUCCAGUGCCCAGGACAGUGGCGGCAGGGGUGGUGCUCAGCAGACUUGGGAAAUCCCACAGCUGGAGUAGCACAGGGCCGGGGGGAGGAAUGCCUGCCCUCCUUUGCCAUUUCUCACUUAUUCAACAAAUGCUGGAUGUGCACCAGCUGCCAGGUGCCAGAAACAAGCCGCAGCAAGUGCAGAGGACACACUCAAACCAAGGCAGUCUGAGAGCAGGGUCAGUUCUGUGGGUGGCGUGGGCAGCGGGGCGGUCAGUGCUCAGCAAGUGCUGUCUCAGAAGGGGACACAGGAGCAGCACCAGCCCUGGGCGGCAGGGGACACGCAGAGGGAGGUGCAGGGAGCACCCAGCAGCUGGGCUAGGACAGAGGAAGGUGACUUGUGUCUCAAGAAUGCUCGAUGGGGCUGGCAGGAGUCAGAGAGACAGGUAGAAGAGGAAGCCAGCCUGGGAAGGGCCUGAGACAUUGGAUUCACUUCACCGCAGGAUGUGGCCCCCGACAGAGCCACGUGUUCUCUGGGACACUUUACGAAUUUCGUGCUCUGGCCAAGUGAGAGGCAGGGUGGAACGAUGAGCACCAGGCCUGAGUCUGUGCGGAAGCUGAGACCCGUGGACCCAGCUACUGGCACGUUGCUUCCUGGCUGCAGUGGUCUCAGCUCUGUCCUGCUGUCCUAGCACUGGUGGGGAGAGCGACAGCUGGCUCUGCCACCGUGAAACAAGGGCUGGGAUUGCUGUGAGAGUCAUCGAGUUAUCAGACCGUGGAUUUUCAGAGACGGUGGCUGAAGGACACGCUGUGAGCUCAGGGCGGGAGUCCAGGGGCACACAGUCAGCAAUGAGGACAAGGUUCCAGGGUGUCCUGGUGGAGGGAAGGCUGGCAGGACACAGCCGGGCACCGUGCAAAUGCUGGCUCAUUCUGAAUGAGGCUGGAGGGGACACCAGACAGCAGCCAGAAGGGCAGGUGCCCGGGAGGCAGCAGCACCUGUGCCGACCACCUAGGGCUAGGGUUGGAGAAGAUGGUGGGAAGCUUGGAAGCUGCAGCGGGCACCAAGAACCAUGUCCACUCACCGUCCAGCACCUGCUCUGCACCCUAGGUGGGGUCCAACCUGGGUGCCAGGUUCGUGCCAGGCCCCGUGGGCUCUGUGCCAUGCUGCUGUGGCUCCCAGGUGCCUCCUCAGCCAUGUGACACUGCCACCUGCUUCCUCCUGGGGCUCGGCUGGGACCCCAUCCUCGGAGGACAGAGAGAGGCUCGCCAUAGGCUCUGCCACCGUGGCUGCAGAGACACUGGGACUUGUCCUGAGAACACGGGGGAGGCUGAUGGGUGGGAAGUCGGAACUUAGCAAGCGCUGGCCAGCUCAGUCCCUCCUUACCCAUUCUCCAGUGCCAGGCAGGAGAGGGUGCCACCCGGGACGCAGGGCUGAAGCCUAGUCCCGAGGUCCUGGGAUCACAAAGACAGACAAGUGGCCAGUGAGCCGGGCUGGAAGUGAGGACCCGCAGUGGACAUGGCUGCCCUGCGGAGGAGCCUCAGCCUGAGCUCACAGGGCUCACUCCCAAGUCGGGCGUCUCCAGGGGCCAGGCAGGGCGUCCAGAAGCCUAAACUUGCCUUCCUGGCAGGGGGACACUGACCCUGUGGUCCCAGCUGCCUACCCUUGACCUCUGGAGGUAGCAUCCACCCCUCAAACCCAUCUCAACACACCCUCCCUGCAGAGGAGGAAGCUGGCUCACACUGUGCCCGAUCUGCCCCACAGUGGUGCGCACACCCCCGUCUUCUCUGCAUCCCUCUUCUCCUCCCUCCCUGCUCCACCCCUCUUCCUCUCUCUUCCUCCCUCCUUCCCUUCAUCCACUCCUCCCACAUCCCCCAUCCAGCCAGUUAUGCAAUGACAUUUGUCACAGUGCUCUGGGGACCGCAGAAGGUGCUCAGGACACAGCAACGGAGAGGUAGACUGGAUUGGAGAGCCGGCUGUGGUUCCACAGCCCAGCAUUCCUAGGGUAAGGUUCUGGUCUGGAGCUGGGGCUGCUCCCUGGAGCCCCUGUGCCCGCCCAUCUCCAGAGGCCAUGACCAAAUGUGUGUCCUGGCUCAGGAGCCAGACUUGGCCCAGGCCCAGCUCCAGCCCUUGGUGGGUGCUGACCCGGAGCGCCUCGUGGGGCUGCAGACACCUCUGGCUUGUCUAUCCCCGCACCAUCCUCUGUCUGUCCACACAUGGUCAGAGCUUCUUCCAGCAUGGCAGGCUCAUACUGUGCACAAGGUGAGUGUCACCAGGGAGCUGAAGGGCCCAGCCUGUCCCUUAGUGUAGAGGUGGAGCCAUACGACAUUGCUCCUGCCGUACUAUUGUCAUUCUCUCCCAUAGGCUUGGCUCAGCUUCAAGGAGAGAGGACAAUGUAGACAUCACCUCUCGAUGGAAAGAGUACCGAAGAACUUGCGGGUAUGUUAUAGAACAACCACAAGCAGCUAAGAGUGGUGGCCUUGAAUUUAAAGCCAGAAAUGUUGCUACACGCCUGAAGUCCCAGCUACUUGGGAGGCUGAGGCAGGAGUAUCACAAGUUCAAGGCCAUCCUGUGCAGCGUAACAAGACCUUGUCUCAAGAUAGGCAGAUACAUAGAUGGACAAACAGACUCAGGGAUAUAGCUCACCAUCUGCAUAACAUGGGCAAGGCCCUGGGUCCAAUCCCCAGCACUACACAAAUAAGGAAGGCCAGCUUAGGAUGAGUAAUGACAGUCUGUGCCCUGGCCCCUGGGGUCCCAGGCUGUGAGGAGAGACAAGGGCAGGUGUCCCCCGUGGGCUGGAUGUGGGCACAGAGAGCAGACCAGGGAAGGAGUCAGCCAGGAGGUGAGCGACCACCCUGUUCGCUGUGGACCCCAGCCCGGCGUGCAGAGGCCCCGAGUGCUGCCGCAGCAGGGCUGUGGAGCCAGGCGCUGUGCACGGUCAGUGAGACCCACCCUCCAGCUGGAUCUGAGAGGGGCCUCCGCCCAGAGCCUGCACGGGCUCUCCUUGGUGCUGACUGGGAGCCUGAGGCCCAGGCCCCUCCGGGACUGUAGCCACCGCAGCCCUUGGGAAGUGAAACUUCUCAGGGCCAGGGUUCUCAUUUGUCACCUGAGGGUGGCUUUCAGUGGCUCCCUGCUCUGAGCGGCAGAAGGUACACACCCCGAAACUGGCCCCUGGGGAUUCCCGGCACACGCGCAGCGCGCCUGACCUCACCGCCCUUUUCAGGGACCCAAGGGGAGGCAGCCCGGGUUUUGGCAGCAGCAUGGCCAGGAAAGACUUGUGUGACCUUCAGAAGCUGCUUCCCCCUUGAACACUCAGUUUCCUCAUCUGUCAAAGGUCAGGUCAGGCUCCUCGAGACUCCCCUCGCCUGACACCACAGCCAGUGGCUCCCCAACUGCUUCUGAGCUGAGCCCGAGGCCGCUGAGCCGCAUCUCCCCACUGACUGUGUCCACAGGAGAGGGUCUUGGGCAGCCACGCCUCAGCUGAGGACCCCUGGGCUCCUCUCCCAGCCAGGCCCUUCCCUGUCGGUGCCCAUGGCCGGGCGCCCCAGACCAGGCAGGGGUGGCAUGGAGCUUCUCCCAAUCCUAUCCCCUUUUGUUGCCAGUUCAGUGGGUCCAGGUGGUUGAGUAUCAGAGUGCUCCAUCUCAUUUCCCUUUGGGGUUGCUGUAGGUGAUCUGGGAGUCUGGUUUUGAGACUUAUUUAG